UGGGGCGGUGUGGGCGGCCCUGGAAGGGCUAGCCGCUCGGACUUCACCGGGUGGUGGGCCCGCCUCCGGGAGUGGGCGGAGCCCAGCGUGGGACGCACUGCGCGGGUCCGGGCGGGCGGCGCCCGGGAUGUCCGGCUGCCUACCUACCUGCGGAGCAGUUUUGCGGGCCGGGCUGGCGGCGUGGCAGUGGCCUUUGCGGCACCGGCUACUGCGGAGCGCCCUGGGCUUGGGGACGGCUUUGUCGCCUGCCUGGGGGGCCGGAGCCCGGUGGAUCGGCCAGGGCGCGGCUCCUGGAGGGCUGGUGUGGAAGGAGAAGUGCGCGCUCCUGCGUGUUCCUUCCACCUGCAGGGAUUCUGGAAUGACAACCUGAUUACUACACAGUGGCUGCAGGGACAAAGCCUGGCGCCUUCAGGACAAAACAGUGCUAUCCCACAGACCACUUGCUGUGUGAGAUGAAGAGGACUGCCAACUAAAGGCUAAGCUGCAAUCAGCCCUGUUAGAUUGGAGGAAUCAGACUUCCUAACAUGGAAUUUGAGGUGGGGGGAAGCAUUGGCAUGCAUUCCUCUUUGCCAAAGUCUCAUUAGUAAUUCCACUAGGCUUUAAGUUCCUUGAGGACAAGAAUCAUAUUUAUUAGGGUUAUCAGCGUAUCAUCAGGCUGGCACAGUGCCUGACAUAGCAAGUACUGAAUGAAUAAACCUCUCCUCCCUUCA